CACGUAGGGGGCGAGCGUUGUCCGGAUUUAUUGGGCGUAAAGAGCUCGUAGGCGGUUCUGUAAGUCGGGUGUGAAAACUCUGGGCUCAACCCGGAGACGCCACUCGAUACUGCGGUGACUGGAGUCCGGUAGGGGAGUGCGGAAUUCCUGGUGUAGCGGUGAAAUGCGCAGAUAUCAGGAGGAACACCGACGGCGAAGGCAGCACUCUGGGCCGGUACUGACGCUGAGGAGCGAAAGCGUGGGGAGCGAACAGGAUUAGAAACCCCAGUAGUCC
rnacentral:rRNA from 1 species